UACGUAGGGUGCGAGCGUUGUCCGGAAUUAUUGGGCGUAAAGGGCUCGUAGGCGGUCUGUCACGUCGGGGGUGAAAACUCGGGGCUCAACCCCGAGCCUGCUUCCGAUACGGGCAGACUAGAGGUAUGCAGGGGAGAAUGGAAUUCCUGGUGUAGCGGUGAAAUGCGCAGAUAUCAGGAGGAACACCGGUGGCGAAGGCGGGUCUCUGGGCCGAUACUGACGCUGAGGAGCGAAAGCGUGGGGAGCGAACAGG
rnacentral:rRNA from 1 species